rnacentral:rRNA from 1 species
AUUGAACGCUGGCGGCAUGCUUUACACAUGCAAGUCGAACGGUAACAGGCCGCAAGGUGCUGACGAGUGGAGAACGGGUGAGUAAUGCACCGGAACGUGCCCAGUCGUUGGGGAUAACGCAGCGAAAGCUGCGCUAAUACCGCAUACGAUCUAUGGAUGAAAGCGUGGGACCGUAAGGCCUCGCGCGAGUGGAGACGACGAUGUCAGAUUAGGUAGUCGGUGGGGUAAAGGCUCACCAAGCCAACGAUCUGUAGCUGGUCUGAGAGGACGACCAGCCACACUGGGACUGAGACACGGCCCAGACUCCUACGGGAGGCAGCAGUGGGGAAUUUUGGACAAUGGGCGCAAGCCUGAUCCAGCAAUGCCGCGUGCAGGAAGAAGGCCUUCGGGUUGUAAACUGCUUUUGUACGGAACGAAACGGUCCUGGUUAAUACCUGGGGCUAAUGACGGUACCGUAAGAAUAAGCACCGGCUAACUACGUGCCAGCCGCCGCGGUAAUAC